rnacentral:rRNA from 1 species
UAACGCGUGAGAAUCUGCCUCUAGGACUGGGACAACAGAAGGAAACUUCUGCUAAUCCCGGAUGAGCCGGAAGGUGAAAGAUUUAUCGCCUAGAGAUGAGCUCGCGUCUGAUUAGCUAGUUGGUAAGGUAAAAGCUUACCAAGGCAACGAUCAGUAGCUGGUCUGAGAGGAUGAUCAGCCACACUGGGACUGAGACACGGCCCAGACUCCUACGGGAGGCAGCAGUGGGGAAUUUUCCGCAAUGGGCGCAAGCCUGACGGAGCAAGACCGCGUGGGGGAGGAAGGCUCUUGGGUUGUAAACCCCUUUUCUCAGGGAAGAACCAAAUGACGGUACCUGAGGAAUCAGCCUCGGCUAACUCCGUGCCAGCAGCCGCGGUAAUACGGAGGAGGCAAGCGUUAUCCGGAAUGAUUGGGCGUAAAGCGUUCGUAGGUGGCUAUUCAAGUCUGCUGUCAAAGACAGAAGCUCAACUUCUGAAAGGCAGUGGAAACUGAGUAGCUGGAGUGCGGUAGGGGCAGAGGGAAUUCCCGGUGUAGCGGUGAAAUGCGUAGAGAUCGGGAAGAACACCGGUGGCGAAAGCGCUCUGCUGGGCCGCAACUGACACUGAGGGACGAAAGCUAGGGGAGCGAAUGGGAUUAGAUACCC